rnacentral:misc_RNA from 1 species
AGAAUGUGCCAGGUUUUGGUUGCAGUAUUCCACAAAUGGAACUUGUCUGUCCCCGAUGAUAGUACACUACUUUAUGAGACCCCAGACAAAAGCUCUGCAAUUGAAGGGAGCCGAAAGCUGUUGCACACUGAUGAACUAAGGUGCCUCGACAAAGCUGCUGUAGUUUCAGACAACGAAUUGACGACUGGGGACUAUUCCAAUGCUUGGAGGCUCUGUACUGUUACGCAGGUUGAGGAACUGAAAAUUUUGAUCCGCAUGUUUCCGAUAUGGGCAACUGGUAUAGUCUUUUCUGCUGUUUAUGCACAAAUGUCUACAAUGUUUGUGGAGCAAGGGAUGGUGAUGGACACUGCCGUUGGUUCCUUCAAAAUUCCUGCAGCAUCUCUUUCUACUUUCGAUACCAUUAGUGUUAUUGUGUGGGUCCCAGUCUAUGAUAAGAUCCUUGUUCCAAUUGCAAGGAGGUUUACUGGAAUAGAGAGGGGAUUUUCCGAGUUACAGAGGAUGGGUAUUGGACUUUUCCUUUCAAUGUUGUGCAUGUCUGCUGCUGCUAUCGUUGAGAUCAGGCGCCUACAACUUGCAAGAGACCUUGGAUUGGUGGAUGAAGCCGUUUCAGUACCUCUCAGUAUCUUUUGGCAGAUUCCGCAAUAUUUUAUACUGGGUGCAGCUGAGAUAUUUACUUUCAUUGGGCAGCUUGAGUUUUUUUAUGAUCAAUCACCUGAUGCAAUGCGUAGCUUGUGCAGUGCAUUGUCACUGCUGACAACUGCUUUGGGUAAUUACUUGAGCUCUUUCAUCCUGACUGUAGUAACGUCCAUUACAACUCGAGGUGGCAAACCUGGAUGGAUUCCAAACAACUUGAACGGUGGGCAUCUUGAUUAUUUCUUCUGGCUUUUGGCUGCACUUAGCUUCUUCAACUUAGUAAUCUAUGUUUUCUGUGCCAAAAUGUAUAAAUCCAAGAAGGCAUCCUAAGUUGAAGUUGGUUUUAGCCACCCUCUUAUGUUUCUAAAUGAAAGAAAACAUAAUGUGAUUCUUAUAGAACUUUUGUAAGUUAUGAGCUGCCAAACUUUCAAAAGAUCUUUUAAUUAAUGGUGUUACUGUCUUAUUGUUCUUUCAAAGUUGCUUUGCUUCAUCUCUCUCUUCACACUUAGAAUGUUGGCAGGGAGCAUUGGCCUAUGCUUUUGUAUAAAGUUUAGUGUUCG